rnacentral:rRNA from 1 species
CUUAGAGUAAUGUCUAAGUAUCAUUAAGUGAAUACAUAGCUUAAUGAGGGGAACUCAGGGAACUGAAACAUCUAAGUACCUGAAGGAAGAGAAAGAAAUUCGAUUCCGUAAGUAGCGGCGAGCGAACGCGGAUUAGCCCAAACCAAUAAAGUUUUCUUUAUUGGGGUUGCGGACAUAUCAUAACGAAGAGGUAUCGUAAUUGAAGAGGUUUGGAAAGACCCACCACAGAAGGUAAUAGUCCUGUAUGUUAAACGAGAAGACUUUAGAUAUGAUCCAGAGUACCACGGGACACGUGAAACCCUGUGGGAAGCAGGAGGGACCACCCUCCAAGGCUAAAUACUACCUAGUGACCGAUAGCGUAUAGUACCGUGAGGGAAAGGUGAAAAGAACCCCGGGAGGGGAGUGAAAUAGAACCUGAAACCCUGCACUUACAAGCUGUGGAAGCACAUUUCUUGUGUGACCGCGUACUUUUUGUAGAACGGGCCAACGAGUUACGUUAAGUAGCAAGGUUAAGCACUUAAGGUGCGGAGCCGUAGCGAAAGCGAGUUUUAACUGAGCGUUCAGUUACUUGACGUAGACCCGAAACCGGGCGACCUACCCAUGAGCAGGAUGAAGCGAAAGUAAAAUUUCGUGGAGGUCCGAACCCACGAGCGUUGAAAAGCUCGGGGAUGACUUGUGGGUAGCGGUGAAAUUCCAAUCGAGCCCGGAGAUAGCUGGUUCUCCCCGAAA